CCCUGUCUUUCCCUUUCCCUUGCCACCAUCCUAGUUUUCCCAUUCAUGAUUUUAGUUUGCAUUUGUUUAUAUCCAUAUCCUUCAUGCCAUAACCCAGACAAUUGCUUCUUCUCUUCAGUACUGCUUCCGGAGCACCCAUGGCAUCGAGUCCAGUUCAGGUUGAUGCUGGGACAGAAACAGCAGGAUGGUACCCACAGAGCCAGCAUCCCUGCGAGGCCCUGCUGAUGGGCAAAGACUGCUGGGAUGUGGUUCACACUCCCUUUACCUUGUGAAAUGGGGUUGUGACAGCCAGGACUCCAGCAAUCUCUGUGAAUCUUCAGGUAACUUUGUAGACUGAAGCCAGUUACAGGAUUGGUGUGAAUACAAAGAACUUGGUUCCUGAUAACUGCGAAGCACUGGGCGGGUUUGAGCAGGAUGCCCACUGGGCCCUCAGCGUUACGGUUCUGGAGCCCCUUCCGUUCAUUUUCCCACCCGUUCACUAACGACCUCCUUGGUAGAAUAGCUUCGGGGGGCAGAAGUGGCAGAGGACUUCUUCCCUUGCCUCAGAAACACAACCCACGAGUCAAAGAAAGGAAGAGGUUCUAUCAGACAGAGGAGCUUCGUCAAAGGCCCAAGGCAAGAGAGAUCAUAGAACAACCAAACAACUAGAAAAACAACAACAACAAAAAAAAAUUACAAGUUUGUGGAGGAGGAGAUCGAGCCUGCCAUGGAGACUGUGUGAAGUCAACCAUCUUCAGCAGUGCGGGGAAGCUGGGACAAGAUUGCCGUCCUAACUGUACUGAUGCACUAGGGGCUGGUGUUGAAUGGUAACUGAUGGAGAUCUGGGCAUAAGGAAAGCAGACAGGCAUCUCUAGGGGCAGAGUCGGUCUUCAAUCAGAACAACUGAAGGACCCCAGUCUCCCCAAGGGAUGGAGAGUGUGCACACCUGGUGCAGGGGGCUUGGGAGUUUAUAGGGGACUUUGGAGACAGAAGAUUCCAUCUGAAAGUUAGUUCCUCCGCCGUCUAAGUGGUAGACAAUGAUGGAGGGAACCAUCCUGGAUUCUAGCAGCACCCAGGUAUUGUUAUUGUUAGUCAAGUGGGUGGUCCUGCCUGGAGCCACCAACUAGAGUGUCCCUGUACACUGAUCUCCUAAGGGAGCCUCAGGAGACUUCCUGUGUACUGGCUGCUGAUUCCAACAGGAAUAUAGUCUCUUUAAAGUCUAGAGGUCAGAGCCCACAUUGCUUCCCCUGGAUCCAAAUUACGGCACCAGCAGGGGUCCUCCUCAACUACCCCAGGUUCAAGUGGCUGCCAGCACGUCUUUAUUUGUGGCCUCAUCACGCCAUCUCUCUGGUCUAUGUCCUAAGCACACUUCAGAUUUCAUUUAGGUUUCACCCAAUCCAAGACAAAAUCAGCAGCCAAAAUCCCAAGACCCUUUUCCCCAGUAAGGCAGCCCAGUAUUAACAAACGGGCCCUGGGAUGGGGGUGGGAGAGUGUUCGCUCAUCACUGUCUCUGGCCCGCAUCCAGCUGCAGAAGAGAGGCUUGCUGGCUUAAGGCAGCUGCAAUCCACAGCUGAUGUUGCCCUGCAUCCUUGAGCACCAACUGGAGCAUCCCCGAGGAGCACAACCCCCAGCAGGUCUGCAGGGAGAUGUCCUGGAAGAACAAUGAGCCCCCACCCCCCACCUCCGCCACCAAGAGCCUGGUAAUUAACUGCAAACUCCCCAGCCGGGAGACCAAACAGCCGCGGAGCAGCCAGGGUGGGAACAAGUGACCUCAGGUGGGUAGGUGACCACCAUUGAUCCGUGCAGCCCAGAAGGGAAGGGACUGCUGGACUAGGGAGGAGGACCCUCCCGUUUUUCCUUGCUUCUGUGGUUACCACAGAUGUGCAGACACCCUGAACUGUAGUUGAGAGUCAGGGGCUUUGGAACAUGAGGAACCCCAAUGGAUCUUGGGCUUGCAUUCAUCCUGUGAACUCAUGAUGGAUUCUGAAAUCGUUACCUCAGAGACACUGGCAGGCAUGAGGACCAUAUACCCAAGGGUCACUCUGGCUGGUGCUCUUCUUCUUUUUUUGGAUGGACCCAGGCUUCUGCCAUGGGCAUGUAGUGCCUGGAACCAUCACCUGUGGUACCCGUGUUAUUGAAUCGCUGUUCUGGGCCAGCCAGGAAGUAUUUCCUGAUGUGAACGUCCUUAUAUCUUAGUUGACUUCACAAUGCAGUAACAAAAUGCCUGUGCCUCAAUAAUUUAUAGGGACACUUAUUUGGCUCAUAAUUCUGGUGGAUGGAACUUCCUCAGCAUGGCCUUGGCCAUAGGAAAUCAGUUUCUUACAUAAAGAACCUAAGUAUGAACAGGAAGAGCAGGGAAGGGCAGGUUCCAAGUCUUGUGGCAGGGCUGUCACGGGAGCUGCCUGGUCCUGUGAGACCCAGCCCACUCCCAAGAGGCAACACGAACCCAUCACUUUCUUUUAUGCCUCAUCCCCUGACAGUCUACCAACUUAACACCGUCACGCUGGGGACCAAACUCCAAACUGCAGCACACCGGGACUCAGAGCUUUAGGGUUCUACAGCAGAUUUUCUUACUUUUUUACAUUUUCUAUUUUCUUUUUGGCACUGUGGGUGGAACCCAGAGCCUUGUGCAUGUUGGGCAAGUACUCUAGCCUGGAACUACAUCUCUACCCAUGGGUUUUUGAGACAGGGUUUUACUAUGUAGCCAGAGCUAGUCUCAAACUUGAGAUCCUCCUGCUUCAGCCUCCCAGUUGCCAGCCCUUGGGGUUGGGUACCAUCCUACCUGCUGGGGAAUGACUCCUGAUCCUUUUAUAGCUCAGAUUUCAGGGGUUUAUGUGCCAAACUGCGUCUUCUUCACGUUCACUGUCCUAAGCGACACUGAAAUCAGCGUGUGAAACUUUCCUAAGGUUACCUCAUUAGGAGGAGCGAGUGUCCUUACAGGGGUGACAAGGUUAAAAUGAGGUCAUCAGGGUAGGGUAGGAAAUAUGUCUGACUGCAUCCUUACAGAACAGGGGCUCUGUCUCACUUCCACAUAAGAAUCUUGGUGAAGAUGAAGGCAGAGGCCAAGGUGGAGCUUCCCCAUGCCAAGAAACACCAAAAUUGGCCAACUCAGCAAGCACCAGAAGCCAACAAGAGGCCAGCCCACCUUGUCCUAGUCCUGAAAGGCUCCUGCUGUCUGGUACCCCUCAAGGGACGUCCAACCCUAGAGCCCUAGAGCUCUGUCUUUUCAGUCACUCGGUUUGUGGCACAGUUGGCUCUCUGGGCACUUGGGUUCCACAUCUGUGCUGAGCACGUGAGGGCUUUAUUUUCCUUGCCUCUCCCUGAACAAUACUGGAUGAGAAUGACUGACACAGCAUUUAUGACACAUACAAUGUUAGAAGCUGUCUAGAGUAUGAGGAUUCAGGAAGAGUCAUACAGCACGAAGCUGAGCUGGAAUAGACCCAAAUGUCUGAGCAUCUGCUGACCGAGCAUCCCAGAGGCUUUCUGGAUUACAGGUACCAGCAGAUAACUCGCAACUAGGAACAAUUUGACUCUGUCCUGAGGCCAGGUUAGAGAGCAAAUUUCCGGGGCGGCAGACUCUUGGUGCCAUGGUUGACCUGCAGCUGUCCCCCAACACUUUUUUUUAUUUGUUGCCUUCAUUCUUUGCUCCGCCGAUCUGGUUCAUGAGUCUGGAGUCUGCUGGCAGUUUGCG